AUUGAACGCUGGCGGCAGGCCUAACACAUGCAAGUCGAGCGAGCGGCGGACGGGUGAGUAAGGUAUGGGAAACUGCCUGAUGGAGGGGGAUAACUACUGGAAACGGUAGUUAAUACCGCAUACCAUCAGAUGUGCCCCGAUGGGAUUAGCUAGUAGGUGGGGUAAUGGCUCACCUAGGCGACGAUCCCUAGCUGGUCUGAGAGGUUGACCAGCCACACUGGAACUGAGACACGGUCCAGACUCCUACGGGAGGCAGCAGUGGGGCAGAUUGCACAAUGGGCGCAAGCUUGAUGCAGCCAUGCCGCGUGUGUGAAGAAGGCCUUCGGGUUGUAAAGCACUUUCAGCGAGGAGGCGGUACUCGCAGAAGAAGCACCGGCUAACUACGUGCCAGCAGCCGCGGUAAUAC
rnacentral:rRNA from 1 species